CCGCACAAGCGGUGGAGCAUGUGGUUAAUUCGAAGCAACGCGAAGAACCUUACCAGGUCUUGACAUCCCGAUGCUAUUUCUAGAGAUAGAAAGUACUUCGGUACAUCGGUGACAGGUGGUGCAUGGUUGUCGUCAGCUCGUGUCGUGAGAUGUUGGGUUAAGUCCCGCAACGAGCGCAACCCCUAUUGUUAGUUGCCAUCAUUCAGUUGGGCACUCUAGCGAGACUGCCGGUAAUAAACCGGAGGAAGGUGGGGAUGACGUCAAAUCAUCAUGCCCCUUAUGACCUGGGCUACACACGUGCUACAAUGGUUGGUACAACGAGUUGCGAGUCGGUGACGGCGAGCUAAUCUCUUAAAGCCAAUCUCAGUUCGGAUUGUAGGCUGCAACUCGCCUACAUGAAGUCGGAAUCGCUAGUAAUCGCGGAUCAGCACGCCGCGGUGAAUACGUUCCCGGGCCUU
rnacentral:rRNA from 1 species